rnacentral:misc_RNA from 1 species
GAUGAAGAACGCAGGCGAAAUGCGAUAAGUAGUGUGAAUUGCAGAAUUCAGUGAAUCAUCGAAUCUUUGAACGCACAUUGCGCCCCUUGGUAUUCCGAGGGGCAUGCCUGUUCGAGCGUCAUUUGUACCCUCAAGCUUUGCUUGGUGUUGGGUGUUUGUCCUUUCCAUGUGUUUGGACUCGCCUUAAAGUCAUUGGCAGCCGGUGUAAUGGCCUGGGAGCGCAGCACAUUUUGCGGUUCUGGUCACCUCACUCGGCAUCCAUAAAGCCUCUCUAUCACUUUUGACCUCGGAUCAGGUAGGGAUACCCGCUGAACUUAAGCAUAUCAAUAAGCGGAGGA